GAUGAACGCUAGCUACAGGCUUAACACAUGCAAGUCGAGGGGUAACGAGAGGAAAGCUUGCUUUCCUUGUCGACGACCGGCGCACGGGUGAGUAACGCGUAUCCGACCUGCCCCCAACUAGGGAAUAACCUUGCGAAAGUAAGACUAAUACCCUAUAAUUUCCUCAGAUGUCAUCUGACGAGGAAUAAAGAUUUAUCGGUCGUGGAUGGGGAUGCGUCUGAUUAGCUUGUUGGCGGGGUAACGGCCCACCAAGGCAACGAUCAGUAGGGGUUCUGAGAGGAAGGUCCCCCACAUUGGAACUGAGACACGGUCCAAACUCCUACGGGAGGCAGCAGUGAGGAAUAUUGGUCAAUGGGCGGAAGCCUGAACCAGCCAAGUGGCGUGCAGGAUGACGGCCCUAUGGGUUGUAAACUGCUUUUAUACAGGAAUAAAGUUAGCCACGUGUGGUUAUUUGUAGGUACUGUAUGAAUAAGGACCGGCUAAUUCCGUGCCAGCCGCCGCCGUAAUAC
rnacentral:rRNA from 1 species